GAGCGCUCGUAGCAAUACGGGAGCGGCAGACGGGAGAGUAACACGUGGGAACGUACCCUUCGGUUCGGAAUAACCCAGGGAAACUUGGGCUAAUACCGGAUACGUCCGCAAGGAGAAAGAUUUAUUGCCGAAGGAUUGGCCCGCGUCCGAUUAGCUUGUUGGCGGGGUAACGGCCCACCAAGGCGACGAUCGGUAGCUGGUCUGAGAGGAUGAUCAGCCACAUUGGGACUGAGACACGGCCCAAACUCCUACGGGAGGCAGCAGUGGGGAAUAUUGGACAAUGGGCGCAAGCCUGAUCCAGCCAUGCCGCGUGAGUGAUGACGGCCUUAGGGUUGUAAAGCUCUUUCGCUCGGGACGAUAAUGACGGUACCGAGAGAAGAAGCCCCGGCUAACUUCGUG
rnacentral:rRNA from 1 species